GACUUUGUCUCAAAUAAAAAUAAUUUAAUAAUUUUUAAAAUAAUGGUAUGCUUUGAUUCCUUUCUCUUUAUCUUUUGCGUAUAUCUACCAUAGGUUUUUGGUUUGUAGUUACCAUGAAGCUAGUAUAACAUUGUAUAGUUAUACUAGUCUAUUUUAGGAUGAUAACAACUUAACUUUGAUCACGAACAAAAGUUCUGUACUUAUCCUCCCAUUUUAUAUUUUGAUAUUUCACUUAAUGUCUGUUUAUAUUGUGUAUCUGUUAACAAGUUGGUGGAGUUAUAGUCAUUUUUAAUACUUUUGUGUUUCAACCUUUAUCCUAGAGUUGAAAGUGAUUUACAUACCAUCAUUACAAUACUUGAAGAACUCUUUAAUGUUUCAGAUCUAGCGGUGAUAAAUUCUUCAGCUUGUUUGUCUUGGAAAGUAGUUCACUCUCAUUUUUGAAAGAAAGUUUCUUAGAAUAAAGCAUUCUCGGUUGGCAGCAUUUUCUCUCAGCACUUUGAAUAUAACAUCCUACUCUUUCUUGGUCUGUAAAAUUUCUGCUGUGAAAUUCACUGAUAGCUUGAUUCAGAUCACUAUGUAUGUCAUAUGCUUCACAUAGUACUUUCAAGGAUGCAUAGAAUUUGAAUUAUUGAGAGGCAAGAGUUAUCUGCCCAUCAGAGAGGCAAAAAAGAAAAUUAUAGAACCUAUUAAGUAUUGGCUGGGGUAGGGGAAACUGCUACUUCCAAAUAGUGUUGCUAGAAGUGUACAUUAAUGCAGCAAUUUGGAUGAAAUUUUAGUAGAAUAUAUUAAGUUUAAAAUAUACAUUCUCUAUGACCUAGAUAGCUCAAUUUUUUGUGCCUGUCAUGGAGAAAUUUUUAGACAUAUGCAGAGAGGAAGAAAACUGAGGCACAAAAAGAAUAACUAACUUGAUAAGGGUUAUUUCAUAAUUGACAUGAGGGUUAAAAGUUAAUCUGUAAGACAUUUAGAAGAGGCCUUGGCACAUAAUAAGUACUAUAUAAGCAUUUGCUCCCAUUUUUAUUAGUUAAUUGUACUUUAUUAAUAAAUUUUCUGUGUAGUUUUUCUGCUUUGCUUAGUUGGCUCUUAACGCUUUCAUUUUCA
rnacentral:lncRNA from 10 species